AGCAGUCGCCGCGGGAAUACAGAGGAUGCAAGCGUUAUCCGGAAUGAUUGGGCGUAAAGCGUUUGUAGGUGGCUUUUCAAGUCCGCCGUCAAAUCCCAGGGCUCAACCCUGGACAGGCGGUGGAAACUACUAAGCUAGAGUGCGGCAGAGGGGGAUGGAAUUCCGCGUGUAGCAGUGAAAUGCGUAGAUAUGCGGAGGAACACCGAUGGCGAAGGCAAUCCCCUGGGCCUGCACUGACGCUCAUGCACGAAAGCGUGGGGAGCAAACAGGAUUAGAUACCCCUGUAGUCCCUGUCUCUUAUAC
rnacentral:rRNA from 1 species